rnacentral:rRNA from 1 species
UACGUAGGGUGCGAGCGUUGUCCGGAAUUAUUGGGCGUAAAGAGCUCGUAGGCGGUUUGUCGCGUCGACUGUGAAAACCUGGGGCUUAACUCUGGGCCUGCAGUCGAUACGGGCAGACUUGAGUUCGGUAGGGGAGACUGGAAUUCCUGGUGUAGCGGUGAAAUGCGCAGAUAUCAGGAGGAACACCGGUGGCGAAGGCGGUUCUCUGGGCCUGUACUGACGCUGAGGAACGAAAGCGUGGGGAGCGAACAGG